rnacentral:rRNA from 1 species
UACGUAGGGUGCGAGCGUUGUCCGGAAUUAUUGGGCGUAAAGGGCGCGUAGGCGCCACGCGUGUCUUUCGUGAAAUCCCUCGGCUUAACUGAGGACGUGCGGAAGAAACUGCGAGGCUUGAGUCCGGGAGAGGGGGGUGGAAUUCCCAGUGUAGCGGUGAAAUGCGUAGAUAUCAGGAAGAACACCCGUGGCGAAGGCGGCUCUCUGGUACGUGACUGACGCUGAGACGCGAAAGCGUGGGGAGCGAACAGG